rnacentral:misc_RNA from 1 species
ACUAAGCCUAUCAAGCAGUAAUUAUGUCAACAUAAUCAAAUGAAGAAGACAAUUAAAAUGUAAGGAACAUAUAGUGCAUGAGUUACAAGAGAGAAUCGGAGAAUGAGGCAGUGAAAAUUGGAAUGAGGCAGUUAUAUCUAUUGACAUAUCAGGAUUAAUUGGAAUGAGGCAGUGAAAAGGUUGUCGAAGGUGAUGGACCUGAGGGUCGGCAUUCGCUUGA